CCUACGGGCGGCAGCAGUAGGGAAUCUUCCACAAUGGGCGAAAGCCUGAUGGAGCAACGCCGCGUGGGUGAAGAAGGUCCUCGGAUCGUAAAACCCUGUUGGUAGAGAAGAAAGUGCGUGAGAGUAACUGUUCACGUUUCGACGGUAUCUAACCAGAAAGCCACGGCUAACUACGUGCCAGCAGCCGCGGUAAUACGUAGGUGGCAGGCGUUAUCCGGUUUUAUUGGGCGUAAAGGGAACGCAGGCGGUCUUUUAAGUCUGAUGUGAAAGCCUUCGGCUUAAACGGCGUAGUGCCGUGGAAACUGCGUGACUUGAGUGCAGGAGAGGAGAGCGGAACUCCAUGUGUAGCGGUGAAAUGCGUAGAUAUAUGGAAGAACACCAGUGGCGAAGGCGGCUCUCUGGUCUGUAACUGACGCUGAGGUUCGAAAGCGUGGGUAGCGAACAGGAUUAGAUACCCCAGUAGUC
rnacentral:rRNA from 1 species